UCUUCCUCUUUCUGGUACAGAGCGGGAGACACGCCUCUUCCAAAACGGUAACUUCUCAGCUUUCGGUGAUUUCCCCAUGUCGGUGCUGUUCCUUAAAACAUAUUUUGGGGUGGCAAAUUCUGCUUCGCUGCACCCUCUUAGGGUCCUUUUUGGAGGGUGCUGAGAAUUAAGGUGAUGGACGUCAGAGCAACAGGAUAAAAAAGCAGACAGAUCAUCGAAGACUCAGGUUCUCCGUGACGCGGGGGCCUUCCUAAGGAAGGAGGGACCUGGAGAAGCGGUGGGAGAUACUUGCUUCGAUGUUAGGUUGAAGGAGAAAAGGCACUCAGCCGUGUGUGGAGACCAAGGAAGACAAGACCAUUUUAACAAACAACAUCUGGGUAGAGACCUGCUGCGUCUCCACUGCUCAUCCCUGACGUUCCCUGUUUGACACCUUCCAAGGGAAUAAGAGGAAUGGGGACUCAAGAAAACACCAGCAGUGCUUCUCAGAUGCUCCUAGUAAUGUUGGCAUGCUCGUUGCUGAGUAUUAAGAAGGGACACGGCGCAGAGUCUCCUGCCCACCGGUUCUGUGAGAUGUCCAGGCAGAAAUGAGAGAAACACAGGAAAAGAACUACAAGAACAGCUGCUCCGAAAGCUGAGAAGUUACCGUUUUGGAAGAGGCACACGGGGAGAUCCUCACGUGUUGGGGUGUCUCCCGCUCUGUACCAGAAAGAGGAAGAGGACUCUAGAAAAGCUCAUCAACUCUUAUCUCAUUAAGAUGAUGACAGCUGGGGAAGUGACUUCUUUAUUCCUCUUAUAUUUGGAAAGGAGUCCUCACCACCGGAACUAGAAGCAACGGAACACUGCCCGCUUUUGACACCGUGAGCGGCAGCGCUUUCAGCGCAAGUUACAGUGUGAAGCAGGAAACAAAUGCUUACAGGGUCUUAAGAUGCUAAGCCAGCUCGCGGUUUCCCUGACCGUGCAGGCUCCCACUGAACAAAGCUGAAGGUCUGAGAGUCUGGCUACAGAAACGCUCCCCGGGCGCCAGGGCCCCAGGCGGGGCGGCGGCAUUAAUUCAUCACCAGGCACUGACUCUCCGUCCCACGUCUUCCUCGGGGGCUGGGCGCCCGGAGCCGCCCGGAGCCGGCCGCGGCAGCAGCAGCAGCAGCAGCAGCAGCAGCAGCAGCAGCAGCACCGCCCCCCUCCCCACCCUGCGGGGACCUGGCUGGCGGUCCGGCGGCAAAGCAUUGUGGGUGGUGAGUGGUCAGGACGUGUGCCCUCUGGGCAGCGAGGCUCCCCCGGUCUGGCCGGGGCUCCAGGGUGCAGCGCGGACGUCCAAAGAGCUGGCUGGCCUCCAGGCUUCACAGGAGCCGGGGGACCGGCUCGGGCGCCCCCGCCCCCCCUCCGCCCGGGAGCCCCCGAGUCCAAGGGCCCGAAGCAUGCAUUCUCCUCGUCCUCGGCGGGUGCAGACACGGAUCUGCGAUCGAUAGGCGCGCGGCCCGAGCAGAUGCACACGCAAAUGGGUCAGACCUGUCGGGCGAUCGCCGAGGACACGUGACGAGGCCGCCCGCCAGGCUUCCCGGCGCGGGGCGGGGAGGCCGGACCCGGGCGCGCUGCGGCAGG